AUUGAACGCUAGCGGGAUGCCUUACACAUGCAAGUCGAACGGAGUGGCGAACGGGUGAGUAAUGUAUCGGAACGUGCCCAGUAGCGGGGGAUAAAUACGCGAAAGCGUAGCUUAUACCGCAUACGAUUGGAGCGGCCGUUAUCGGAUUAGCUAGUUGGUGGGGUAACGGCUCACCAAGGCGACGAUCCGUAGCUGGUUUGAGAGGACGAUCAGCCACACUGGGACUGAGACACGGCCCAGACUCCUACGGGAGGCAGCAUUGGGGAAUUUUGGACAAUGGACGAAACCCUGAUCCAGCCAUCCCGCGUGAGCGAUGAAGGCCUUCGGGUUGUAAAGCACUGUUGGCAGGAAAGCGGUACCUGCAGAAUAAGCACCGGCUAACUACGUGCCAGCCGCCGCGGUAAUUC
rnacentral:rRNA from 1 species